rnacentral:sRNA from 1 species
CAGACGUGCCGAUCCGUCCACACACGCGCCGUCACAGAGACUGGGUGCCCGUUCACUCGGGUUGUCGCCUGGGGCGCGUGGAGGCCUAAC